AGGGGUUUUGCCAAGCGGUAAGGCACAAGAUUUUGAUUCUUGUAAUCGGUGGUUCGAAUCCAUCAAUCCCUGCCA
rnacentral:tRNA from 1 species